GUGUCAGCCGCCGCGGUAACACCGGCAGCUCUAGUGGUAGCCAUUUUUAUUGGGCCUAAAGCGUUCGUAGCCGGUUUGAUAAGUCUCUGGUGAAAUCCUAUAGCUUAACUGUGGGACUUGCUGGAGAUACUAUUAGACUUGAGGUCGGGAGAGGUUAGCGGUACUCCCAGGGUAGGGGUGAAAUCCUGUAAUCCUGGGAGGACCACCUGUGGCGAAGGCGGCUAACUGGAACGAACCUGACGGUGAGGGACGAAAGCCAGGGGCGCGAACCGGAUUAGAUACCCGGGUAGUCCUGGCCGUAAACGAUGUGGACUUGGUGUUGGAAUGGCUUCGAGCUGCUCCAGUGCCGAAGGGAAGCUGUUAAGUCCACCGCCUGGGAAGUACGGUCGCAAGACUGAA
rnacentral:rRNA from 1 species